UGCUUUCUCGUCCUCAGAGACUGGACCCCAAACACCCGGGGGACACGGAGAUCUGCUCCUGCACAUCUGGGGUCUCGUCCCUUUGCAAAAGGAUGUCCUCCCAGCUACCAGCAGGCACCGCAGAGCCUCGGGAUCACGCAGGCUCAGCCGACCCGCUCCCGGCUGGGCUUCUCGGACACCAAAAGGCUCCCCUGGUGAAAGGGCCAUUGUCAGCCCCGGGAAGAGGCAGGUUGCUAUGGAAACCUCGGGACUCCACAGAAGCACAACGGCGGGCUGCAGGAGACCUUUCCAGGCUUCCACGGGGCUCUGCCGAGGCGGCCAAGGGGCUCCAGCCCGGUGGGUCCCCCCGGCCACGAUGCCGGGUGAACCCCAAGCUCAGCAGCAUCUGGGGCAUCCCUCCGCCCCCAGGCACCCACGAGAUGCUCUUUCCAGCCCGGGGUGGGGGGGGAGGUGCGUGGGCGGGGAGGCCCCGUGACUGACG
rnacentral:lncRNA from 1 species